rnacentral:tRNA from 1 species
GUGGCUAUGGUGUAGUGGUAGCACAGCGCCCUGUGGCGGCGCUAGCACGGGUUCAAAUCCCGUUAGCCACCCCA